UCGAAGUUGCGCGAGUCACCAGAGGGUAGCACCAGAACGGGAUGAUCAGGUCGGCAUUUCCUGAGAAGGAGAAAAGUAGGAACGAGUGCAGCAGCAUCCAGAAGUUUGACUUGCCAUAAAGAAAAAUAGUGAGGCUUUUGUCCUUGAAGCCUGUGAUGAGCAGCUGUGCUGGGGAAAUCCAGAAGUCUCUCUGAGGAAAUUGGAUUGUGAGACACAGAGUCUUCCUCGGUCACUCAGGCUGGACUGU